rnacentral:rRNA from 2 species
UGGGGAAUUUUGGACAAUGGGGGCAACCCUGAUCCAGCCAUGCCGCGUGAGUGAAGAAGGCCUUCGGGUUGUAAAGCUCUUUCGGCCGGGAAGAAAACGCAUCUUCUAAUACAAGGUGUGGAUGACGGUACCGGACUAAGAAGCACCGGCUAACUACGUGCCAGCAGCCGCGGUAAUACGUAGGGUGCGAGCGUUAAUCGGAAUUACUGGGCGUAAAGCGUGCGCAGGCGGUUUUUUAAGACAGGCGUGAAAUCCCCGGGCUUAACCUGGGAACUGCGCUUGUGACUGGAAGGCUAGAGUACGGCAGAGGGGGGUGGAAUUCCACGUGUAGCAGUGAAAUGCGUAGAGAUGUGGAGGAACACCGAUGGCGAAGGCAGCCCCCUGGGCCGAUACUGACGCUCAUGCACGAAAGCGUGGGGAGCAAACAGG